UACGUAGGGUGCAAGCGUUGUCCGGAAUUAUUGGGCGUAAAGAGCUCGUAGGCGGUCUGUCGCGUCGGCUGUGAAAACUCGGGGCUCAACCCCGAGCCUGCAGUCGAUACGGGCAGACUAGAGUGCUGUAGGGGAGACUGGAAUUCCUGGUGUAGCGGUGAAAUGCGCAGAUAUCAGGAGGAACACCGGUGGCGAAGGCGG
rnacentral:rRNA from 1 species